UACGAACCGUCCAAACGUUAUUCGGAAUCACUGGGCUUAAAGGGCGCGUAGGCGGCCGAGCGGGUCGCGGGUGAAAUCCUCCAGCCUAACUGGAGAACUGCCCUCGAUACCACUGCGGCUCGAGGAAGGAAGGGGCAAUCGGAACUGUCGGUGGAGCGGUGAAAUGCGUUGAUAUCGACAGGAACGCCGGUGGCGAAAGCGGAUUGCUGGUCCUUUUCUGACGCUGAGGCGCGAAAGCCAGGGGAGCAAACGGG
rnacentral:rRNA from 1 species